rnacentral:tRNA from 1 species
GUCCCCUUAGCUCAGUGGUAGAGCGCCCCUCUGCUAAAGGGUGAUUUCCUCAUUGUUUUUGAGAGAGUAAAUCGAUAAAUUAGAGAGUCUCACAUUGGCGGACCCAAAUCAUGCCUUCGUAGGCCAUGAUUUCGAUGUGGAUUUAUUCUAAGAAAUGAGACCGGUGGUUCAAAUCCAUCAGGGGACG